rnacentral:rRNA from 1 species
AUUGAACGCUGGCGGCAUGCUUUACACAUGCAAGUCGAACGGCAGCGCGGGCUUCGGCCUGGCGGCGAGUGGCGAACGGGUGAGUAAUGCAUCGGAACGUGCCAGGAGUGGGGGGAAACCCGGCCAAAGCCGGGAUAAUUCCCCAUACGGACCUGGGGGGGAAACGGGGGGACGGAAGGGCCUCGCGCUUUUGGACCGGCGGAUGUCGGAUUAGCUAGUUGGUGGGGUAAAGGCUUACCAAGGCGACGAUCCGUAGCUGGUCUGAGAGGACGACCAGCCACACUGGGACUGAGACACGGCCCAGACUCCUACGGGAGGCAGCAGUGGGGAAUCUUGGACAAUGGGGGCAACCCUGAUCCAGCCAUGCCGCGUGCGGGAAGAAGGCCUUCGGGUUGUAAACCGCUUUUGUUCGGGAAGAAAUCCUCUGGGCUAAUACCCCGGGGGGAUGACGGUACCGGAAGAAUAAGCACCGGCUAACUACGUG